AGGGUGCAAGCGUUAAUCGGAAUUACUGGGCGUAAAGCGCACGCAGGCGGUUGAUUAAGUCAGAUGUGAAAUCCCCGAGCUUAACUUGGGAACUGCAUUUGAAACUGGUCAGCUAGAGUCUUGUAGAGGGGGGUAGAAUUCCAGGUGUAGCGGUGAAAUGCGUAGAGAUCUGGAGGAAUACCGGUGGCGAAGGCGGCCCCCUGGACAAAGACUGACGCUCAGGUGCGAAAGCGUGGGGAGCAAA
rnacentral:rRNA from 1 species